AUUAGUUUACUCCUAUCUUCAGCUUCCGCAAGAUCUGUGUUU
rnacentral:sRNA from 1 species